rnacentral:misc_RNA from 1 species
GAUGAAGAACGUAGCGAAAUGCGAUAAGUAAUGUGAAUUGCAGAAUUCAGUGAAUCAUCGAAUCUUUGAACGCAUCUUGCGCUCCUUGGUAUUCCGAGGAGCAUGCCUGUUUGAGUGUCAUUCAAGUUCUCAACCGCAUCAGAAUUUUUGUUGCGGCUUGGAAAUGGAGGUUUAUGCAGGCUUGAUCAAGUCUGCUCCUCUGAAAUGAAUUAGUGGUCGUUUGAUAGCUCUUUUACUUAGGUGUGAUAAAACUAUCUAUGCCUAAUGCUGAACCAAACAUCUGCUGCAAAGAAACCUUUUGAUGAAUUUGACCUCAAAUCAGGUAGGACUACCCGCUGAACUUAAGCAUAUCAAUAAGCGGAGUA